rnacentral:rRNA from 1 species
UACGGAGGGUGCAAGCGUUGUCCGGAAUCAUUGGGCGUAAAGCGCGUGUAGGCGGUUCGGUAAGUCCGCUGUGAAAGUCGGGGGCUCAACCCUCGGAUGCCGGUGGAUACUGUCGGACUAGAGUGCGGAAGAGGCGAGUGGAAUUCCUGGUGUAGCGGUGAAAUGCGUAGAUAUCGGGAGGAACACCAGUGGCGAAGGCGACUACCUGGCCUGUUCUUGACGCUGAGGCGCGAAAGCUAGGGGAGCAAACGGG